AGUCCGUUGCAUCAUUCUCUCGAUAGUUUGUCCACUAUAUUGUGAAGGACGAUGUCGAAAGUUGUGGCAGUAGUGAUGGUUCUUAGUUUGAUGAUGACCACCUCGGCCGAACACCAGGAGCGAGUAGUGGUAGCUACUCCAAUAGAAGGAACUAGUCAAGGACGGGUGCGCUAUUCGGUAACUCCGACGUACUCUACUACAUCACCGUCACUCGAUGGUGCACAUCCACAUUGUGGGGGUCGUGACCCAAAAAAUUGUCCUCCGCCUCCUGCAUGGUGACAAGUUGUAUUUUUUGCCAUGCUUGCUAUGCUGAAUAAAACAUCGUCCAUGCUAUUGUUUUCUUAGGAGAGUUCUAAUACUACAUUUCUUCGACUUUAACUUUUUUCGCGAAUACGCAAAGAUUGCGUAUCAUUCCAUUGAUAGGUAGAGAGAGUUUAUAUACAAGUGUGUGCUAUUCUUGUGGCCGUACACAGUUAGCUGGCGGCACCAAGAGAGCAAGUGAGCAGAAAGAGAGGUUGUUCAGCCUAACAUGCAAAAUUCGAUCCAGUCCUUUUGCGCCGGCCUUGGCCCAGCGCACAGCCUCGUGCUGAAUGGUCGCCAUGAGGUGGGUAUGGGAUGGAGAUGCUCCGUCGAAGAGGACGGCAUUCCGAUGCUUCCAAGUACUCUAUGCCAUGAGGAUGAUCAGAGAGUUGACACCUUUCCGUAAACCUGCCGGGGAGGUGGCAGCGGCGGUCUCCCACCACCUGAAGAAGCUGGUGGUUCCGUCUAUUGGUGCAAUGGGCAGCCGGCACCAUGCAAGCACCUCAUGCCAGGAUAUGCGCGCUAGCACGCAUCCAACAAGCAAGUGGUCGAUGGUCUCGUCUGCUUGGUUACAGAGCUUGCAGUUGGGGUCGUGGGGUAGCCCGUGUCUCGCGCGUCGCUCUGCUGUCCAGCAACGGUUGAGGGCAGCAAGCCAUAAGAAGAUUUUUGCAUUCGAGGGCGCCCAGGUCCUCCAAAUGAGUCACCAGAAUGGUGCCGUGGUGGAGCCGUGGAACAUGAGCUCGCCGUGUAGAUUCCAUUGGGAGUCCAUUUCCAGGAUAACUUGUCGGGGUUGGCACAUAGGGAGACGCCCUGCAGCUGCUGCCAUAACUCGACAUACUUGACGAUGGCUCCGGGGUCGAGCGUGCCAUGGAUGUCGGAGAUCCAGGUAUUGUUUGUCAGUGCUUCACUGACGAGUCGUCGUUUGCGUCGUCGGCGCGGAAUGAGAGAGCUCAGCGUAGGGGCCAACUCCGUGAUGGAAUGGCCGUUGAGCCAAUGAUCAGACCAAAACGGCAAGUGUUUCCGUCGCCAAGGGUCCAUGUGGUGGAAGCGCGAAAGAAUUCCAAGGUCUCGCGGUCGUGCGGGAGGUGUAGGUGUUUCCACGGGCGCUCCUGGUCACUGGCUUGAAGCCAAAGCCACCGGGUUCGCAGCGACACGCCGCUGCGCUGGAUGUCGCGAAUGGCUAGCCCGCCAUAGGCUAGAGGGCGGCAGACACGGGCCCAGGAGACUGGACAACAGCCUCCAUUGACAUCCCGCCGUCCAAACCAAAGGAAGUCUCGGAUGAGCUUGGUGAUCCGCUUGAGGAUGGGAGGGGCGAUCUCCAUCGCAAGGAAGUCUCGGACUUUAACUUUUCUCUCGGUGUUUUCCUUGUAUUAAAUAAAAAAGCAAGUUCUUCAGCUACUGCCAAAAUGAUAUAGCCACCGGCUCAUCAGGGACAUGCACAUAUAUUGCUCGUCACUGGUAACUUGAAAACUUACCAGUGGCAAACAAAAUUCCAGGUUCGCAAGUGGUAAGUGCUUACCACUGGUGAGCCUUGAUAACUAGACAAUACCCCGCGUGUUGCAGCGGAAUAGUAACAAUUUAAAAGAGAAGGGCACACGGUAAGGAGAAAACGAGUAAGAAAAUAAGAAAUAAGAUGAUGAGUGGUGGAGAAUUAAACGGUAAGAGAUAUGGGACGCGCGUAUGCCUGACCCUGCUGGGUUGUAUGAUACCGCGGGAGAAGGUGGGCCAAAUGACCUGAUCGAGGUGGCUUCAUGGUGUUGCACGCGGCAACAUCCUCAGCGGCAGUGCGCCUGCGACCGUGGCAGCCCCGUCCGAUUUGGCCGGCAUGGUCUAUGACAUGUAGCUCGGGCCGGACUACUAUCGCCCAUGGAAGGACUCGGGAGAUAGUACCACUAAUAAUGACAAGCGACCAAAAACAAUAAAUACUAGUAGAACAUCUUCUAUGGAAACAAAUGGAAAAAAGAAAAGAAUACAACACAAAAGUGAUGCACCAUUAGCACUUGUUAUUUUUUCCUCACCAUAUCUUAUAUUUCUUUGUUAUGCAAAUGCAAUUGCACAUUGUUUUCUACUCCCUCCGUCCGUGAAUAAGUGUACUUCUAGCUUUUGUGUUAAGUCAAAGUUUUGAAAUUUUGACCAACUAUAUACAAAAGAGUAAUAACAUAUAUGACACAAAAUUGGUACAUUAUAAAAGUACAUUUCAAAAUAGACCUAGUGAUAUUAAUUUAGUGUCAUAAAUGCUAGUACUUUUCCCUAUAAAGUUGGUCAAAGUUUUAAAACUUUGACCUAAGACAAAAGCUAGAAGUACACUUAUUCGCGGGCGGAGGGAGUACCGAGUAACUAGAUUGUCACCCGGCUUGGACGCAAGCGAUUAAAUUGUAGCUAUAUACACUUUCUUUUGGGUACUUAACAUGUGUGUUUGAGUCCGGAUGAUGAUAUGUCAAGUCAUGCAUGAUAGCCUCAUGCCUAAAACCUUCCAUGCUUUUGCUAUCAUACAUGAGAUUGUAAGAUUCUCUUUGGAACAAUAUGCGGUCACUAGACAUGGUUAUCAGGUGUACAUGACAUGGGAGCAACGGGAGGGAUGGGAGGGGCUGGAGGAGGGAGGCGGGUGAAGGAGGAGAUCUAGAGGCUCGAGGCCUCGUUUGAAAAAUCCAGCACCGGUAGCCUCUGACUGAGUUUCAGUCAAUAGUCGCUAUAAAUUACCGGGCAAAUUACAGCCUCGCUAGAAUAGGUUAAUAUUCCGGGAGAGCGGCGACGGUAUGGACGGGCUCAUGCGCUCCCGCUAGGUGGAUGAACGACUCGCUGACACGUAGCGUAUUGUAUUGAAUGCUAUCGUGUGCGUACACGGUGAGUACAGGUGCGGAGCCGUCCAAAUUAACCGGGAUAUAGCGGCCCAGCAUGGUGGUGUUCCGUUAGUACAGGAUUGUCAGAGCGUCACGUAACAACCGCCGUCAUCCACGCCCGUUACGCAGACGCCGUUCUUUUUUUUUUGAAACUCAGAUGCCGUUCUUCUAAUGGGUAAAUGGGUACCCAACUCUGGGUCCAAAUCAUAGAGUGCAAGAAACAAAAAAAAUUCACCAACAAACUUCCACAAAAAAAACAUCGGAUGACAAGAUGACAAUGUAGAAUAACUAUAAACACUCUGCACACCUGGAAACAGAAGUGGCAGGCGAACAAAUGAACCGUUGCUGCUUUACUUUGAUAAUCACUCUGCAACUUCGAUACUGCUGCCAUCAGCUUCUAGAUAGCAUAUUCACACCAACUGAAUUGCGCUAUCAAUUCCGGGUUAGCUAGAGCACCCCAGAAAUCAAUCGUCAUCGUGUAAUACUUUGUGCACGGUAGUCCUGGCCAUGGGCAGCCCGGCCCGACCCGGCCCAAAAAAGCCCGACCCGGCCCGGCCCGACGCCGCUCCCGGGCUGGGCUCGGGCCUAGAUUUGAGCCCGAAGACUGGGCCGGGCCGGGCCUGGGCCCAUCGUUUUCGCGUUUUCCUGAAGAACGGGCCGGGCCGGCCCAAAGCCUGACGAGCUUUUACGUGUUCGGACCGGGCUUGGGCCCAGAAAACCGGCCCGACGGCCGGGCUCGGGCCUGGGUUUCUUGCGUCGGGCUUGGCUAGGCCCAGCCCGAAGCCCGGCCCGGCCCGAGGUAUGGCCAGGUAUAGUGCACGGUGCUACCAGAUAUCCCAUCACAAAAAUUACGAAAACGAUCUGAAAGCAAUCCUUCUCCAUCUUACUAGAAUUCUCGGAAAGCUCUCUGUUUAUAAAGCUUUCAGCCGCUUUCAAAUUCUGAGCAACUGAACUAUCCAUGCCAAUUGUACACUUGAUGAAAUGGAUUGCCGGAGCAGCAAUUUGUGCAUCCCUACCACACACAUCUCGGUUCCCACAUGGGAUGCCAAAAACCUUGUGGAAAUCCUCGGCUGUGAAAGCAAUCAUCUUCUUAUCGUCUAUUUCAAUUACACGACACCGAGCAUUUACCUUCCUCAUGACCCAAACACUCAUUUUCAGCUCCAACCUUGCAAUCAUCGGCAAAUUCAGAAUUCCACCGAAUCCAGUCUCAGAUACAAGCCAUCUCUUGUAUUCAGACAUGCACACCAGCUUUGAAAAACAGGCGUCUUCACCUUCAGCAAAGAAUGCCCCUUACUGCACUUUGUCGCCUAUAAUCCAAUCAGCGAUGCUUGAACUAAAAAAGCGAAAAACUACUAGCUACAGGUUUUACUGCAUGUAAACAUGAAACCAUUUCAUUCAUAAUAUUUGGAUGACACUAGUACACCAUCAGCAGUACAUUUCCACCUCCAAAACUGUCUCCAGCUACACCAGCAUUGGCGCUACACGGGUACAGCGUCACUUAGUACUGACCACCACACUUUGACCACCUAAAACGUACUUAGCAGCUUAAUUUACAUAGCACUUAACACUACUCCCAGCAACUCUCGCUGUCAUCUCCACCACAGAACCUAAUUCAGCACACGCAGGAUAACAUCCGCCACCAGCAACAUGAGAAUGGCCACGCCAAUCACUAAAUUUGUUACGGAGACCACCAAAUUUAUGGAUGCAGCAUCGUCGACUUUGGCACCCUGACGACCCGCAACUGGAGCCGCUGCCAGCAUGUAUCCUGCGACUGUACUUGCAAAGGAUGCAGCCUGCGACGCCUCCGGCGCUCCGUUUUGCUGAACCGGAUGAACCUGCGGCGCCUGCACAACUUGAGCUCCAGCCGCCUGCCCGCCCUGCAUCUGACCUGCCCCGAUUUGCCACACUGGAUGUGCUGCUCCUCCAAAAGUCGCAACAUGCGCCGCGUAGGCUUCCUCCCAUCUGUAGAAAUCGCAUCCACCCCUGAUGGCUGCCACGGAUUCACGAGAAAGCAUACCUCGUGAGAAACUGACCAAGAAGAAACAUCAGAAAAGAACUCCGAAAUCCAAUCCAAUAAACUAUACUUACGUUGUGAUUCCGGCACUUGUAGAAUCGCUGGCCGGCGUUCUGCCCGCGCCGCGCUAUGUAGGUGACCACGUUCCUGCCGCAGUCCGGACAAGGCACGAUCGGCAGAGCAACUGGGUCAGCACCUGGAUCUGCCAUCUUUGCAACCUAAUUUUUCUCUCUUCUUCGAUUUGUGAUGUACUAAAGGAAACACUGCGGGGCAGCUAGGGUUUCUUCUCUCGAUUUGAGGAUCGAAUGGGGACCAGACCAACAAGAAUCCGUGGGCUGGGUACUCCGUCUAGGUGUGUAAGUCAUCUUACGUUGCGCACCGUGACCAAAGUGGAGGGGAAAACGAGAGAACUUAAUGUGUUUUUGCUAAUUAAUAACAAUGCAUGCAACGAACUAACCAAUGCAUGUCGUGUUUGGUAGUCUCAAAUCAUUUAAAGCAUGCAUGACCCACAUCUCUU
rnacentral:lncRNA from 1 species